UCACGGCGGGCGGCGCGUGUAUAUAUAAAUGUGCAGGGUGGCUGACACUCCCUUCUCGGUUGGGACUUCAAGGCCCUGGUCGGCAAGGUGAAAUGGCUGUGCCUUCAGCAGCGCGAUGCCGUUCCGCCGUCGCUGGUUAAGUUUUUUCAGAAGUGGCCCAGCGGCAGAUCCUUGGAGAGCAACCAGAAGCAGUGGGUGUUAAGCUGUCCUGGGUGAGGUGAUGUAAUGGAUCUGCAUCCUGGGUUUGUGGACCAACCGUACAAUGACGUGAAUGAAAAUGGUGCUUGAAUGGUAAUGGACAGAGGCCAUUCAAGUUGCAAGAAAAUCUGCCAGUUGAAAAUGGUCUUUGUACGAUGACGAACAAUGUCCAUUCAAGUUGCAAGAGGAUUUCUGCCGGAGAAGGUGAGAUGAAAGCGGACGUCUCCACAGGCACGGGCUUGCCCCUCGCCUGCUGCUUGUGGUGACCUCAACACGGAUACAAGGAGCAAUGAAUCCUGUGGACGAACGUGGCAAAGCUGUGCAGAUAUUUACUCAAGUCAAAUAAACACGUGAUUUGAAGUCCCAACCGAUCCAGUAUUUGCCUCGUCAUGUGGUGUACUUAUUGUUAUCAAUAAAGAAAUUGCAAAGAGA